GAGUCGCGGUCUGGUGUGGAUGAAGCAAUCAAACCUAGAGUGAAAACAGCCUGAAACACAGAGACGCCUGCAGCCCAACUUUGAUUAUUAGAAGUGUGCAAAUGCAUUCUUUGUUGUACCAAAAACAGCUCUGUGUUCCAUGGAAAUAAAAACAGCAUUUGGAUUUGGAACAACAUGAAACAGCACACAAGUUCUUGGCAGAAGCCCCACCCUGUUUGGCAGAGGGGUGUGUUCACCCAUUGUCCCCUCCUCCAUUGUCACCUUCGGUAUUCUCAUCCGUGUUUUACAUCCUCGUCCUCCACAGAGCAGCUUGGCGUAAGCUGACCUGAAGUCUCUAUUGAGUGUGGCGUAAAGUACUGGGUUUAGGGCAGAGUUUGCAUAUCCUAGCCAAAGCACCACAGACUGCACAGUUUGCGGCGGGUUAUCUUCGUUGCUUAUCCCCAUUAUCAUAAAAAAAGUGAAAUACGGGAACCAGCACACCACGAAAGCACCAAGCACCACUGCAAGCGUCACCAUGGCUUUGUGUUCACGCAGGGUGAGCAUCAUCACUCCUGGUGAAGACGAAGAACACCG
ensembl:lncRNA